rnacentral:rRNA from 1 species
UACGUAGGUGACCAGCGUUGUCCGGAUUUACUGGGCGUAAAGAGCGCGCAGGCGGUCGUUCAAGUCGAGUGUGAAAGCCCCCGGCUCAACUGGGGAGGGUCAUUCGAUACUGAUCGACUCGAAGGCAGGAGAGGGUAGUGGAAUUCCCGGUGUAGUGGUGAAAUGCGUAGAUAUCGGGAGGAACACCAGUGGCGAAGGCGACUACCUGGCCUGUUCUUGACGCUGAGGCGCGAAAGCUAGGGGAGCAAACGGA